CAAAGUAGCUUGUGUAUCCUCCACAGAUACUUGAUCUAAUGAACAUGGGGAAGGCCACAGAGCAGCAAAUUCCUCUACCUGAAAAUAAGUUUUUGCUAAGUAUCUCAGUUUCACCUAAUUCCAUGAAGCUUUUACUUCCCGGAUAUAAAGAGAAAUUAUAUGGGCCUUACAGAGAAAAACUGCAAAUGGCUUCUGCAGCCAAGGAUAACUGCUGACACGUGCCCAGGGCUUAAUUACCCUCAGCAUACAGAGAUUGUAUUCAUAAUUCUAAAAAAGAAAUGAUUCAGUUUUAGUAUCUUGUAUUUUCUAUUUACAGAUUUAUGAUUCCAUAGGAAAAAUGGAUAGCAUUGUACAGCAUUUGCAUUUGUACAGCAUUUAAGGCAACGAGCUUAAAGCCACUGAUGAGAAAACAGGAAUCGAAUAUGAACAGGAAAGAGAUAAAUGCAGAGAGCACCUGCAGGUAUAUUGCUCAUUUUCCUGCAGAGAACCAGGCUUGUAGUUCCCUGUUCCGGGACGGACAGAUACCAAGGCACACAUCUAUCCAUCUGCUGAAGCAGUGGCACAUGAGUUCCAAAAAGAAUCCUUACUGAGAACGGAUGGGCUGGUGGAAAGAAAAGGAGGGGCCGGCUUCUUCCACUCACCUUGGUGCAGGUAAAAUAACUAAGUGCAGAACCACUGAAGGCACGCAGGACUUCACAUGAUCUUUAGGGCGG
rnacentral:lncRNA from 12 species